GCUGUACGAGGAAUAAUAAAACAAAUAAAUUCAACGUAGUGAAGGGAAACAUCCUAUUAACUAUCGUUAAAAACAUCAACUGAGAACUGAGUAGUAGCGGUGAGCGAACCUUAUUUUAGCCCAACUAAAGUAUUAAAACGGUAGUGGAUACUAUUUAUUGGAAAAAGUAACACUAGUGGGUGAAAGUCCCCAAC
rnacentral:rRNA from 1 species